UACAGAGGGGGCAAGCGUUGUUCGGAAUUACUGGGCGUAAAGGGCGCGUAGGCGGCCUCCUAAGUCGGACGUGAAAUCCCCGAGCUCAACUCGGGAACUGCGUCCGAUACUGGUUGGCUUGAAUCCGGGAGAGGGAUGCGGAAUUCCAGGUGUAGCGGUGAAAUGCGUAGAUAUCUGGAGGAACACCGGUGGCGAAGGCGGCAUCCUGGACCGGCAUUGACGCUGAGGCGCGAAAGCCAGGGGAGCAAACGGG
rnacentral:rRNA from 1 species